UACGUAGGUGGCAAGCGUUGUCCGGAAUUAUUGGGCGUAAAGCGCGCGCAGGUGGUUUCUUAAGUCUGAUGUGAAAGCCCACGGCUCAACCGUGGAGGGUCAUUGGAAACUGGGGAACUUGAGUGCAGGAGAGAAGAGUGGAAUUCCACGUGUAGCGGUGAAAUGCGUAGAGAUGUGGAGGAACACCAGUGGCGAAGGCGGCGUCCUGGACCAACACUGACACUGAGGAGCGAAAGCCAGGGGAGCAAACGGG
rnacentral:rRNA from 1 species